GACGAACGCUGGCGGCGUGCUUAACACAUGCAAGUCGAACGGAAAGGCCUCUUUCGGGGGGUACUCGAGUGGCGAACGGGUGAGUAACACGUGAGUAACCUGCCCUUGACUUUGGGAUAACUUCAGGAAACUGGGGCUAAUACCGGAUAGGAGCUCCUGCUGCAUGGUGGGGGUUGGAAAGUUUCGGCGGUUGGGGAUGGACUCGCGGCUUAUCAGCUUGUUGGUGGGGUAGUGGCUUACCAAGGCUUUGACGGGUAGCCGGCCUGAGAGGGUGACCGGCAACAUUGGGACUGAGAUACGGCCCAGACUCCUACGGGAGGCAGCAGUGGGGAAUAUUGCACAAGGGGUGGAAGCCUGAUGCAGCAACGCCGUGGGCGGGAUGACGGCCUUCGGGUUGGAAACCGCUUUCGCUCAUGACGAAGCUUUGUGUGACGGUAGUGGGUAAAGAAGCACCGGCUAACUACGUG
rnacentral:rRNA from 1 species